UUGACAAGGCGCCCGUGAGCUUCAGCCCCUGAAAGGGCGGCGGUGCCGGGGGCGGCGGAACGGAGCGGAGCGGGCCGGCGCUGCCAGUCCCCGCAGCGGCGCGCAGGCGGCCCCCGCGCGGCCGCCGCCGGGUGGAUCCCGCCGCGCUUUCAGCAACCGGCGCUGCCGGUCCCCGCCGCUUCCAGGAAGCUGAGGGGAACGUGGGCGCUCCGAGGCUGCCGUCCUGAGGAACUGCUGCGGCAAUAUUGCAAUUGCCCUUUACACGGCCAAAAAAAGGGGGAGGAAAAAAAAAAGAAAGGAAAAUAAAAAGAUGAAGACGCUUAAAUGUCUCCUGACAAAAGUAAAGAGCAAACCUCAGUUGCAAUGGCUGUGCUAAAACUUGAUCAUGCGGGAUUUCAAGCGAUAAAGAGGUGCCGGGCUUGUAUUUACUGCGGUGGGAACAAGUUGCAGGAUGAAAUCCAGGCAUUAAGGGACCUAUUUUCCACUUCGUUGUUUGCAAAGGAAUCUACUGAAAUGACUUUGAGGAUCUUUAAACUGGAACUAUGUGGAGGGAGAAUGCACCCCCCUUUGCCUGUCUCCCUGUCCGCCUAGCUGCCCUCCCGGGAUGCGAUGUCGCCGGCAGGCUGCGGCGGGGAUCACGCGUGCGGCCAGCGGCGCGGAGGCCGCCCCUGAGCCCGGGCACCGAGGGGCGCGACAUGCCUGCGGCCGCGGCAUGCCCUGCACCAGCACCGGCACCACCGGCACCCGCCGCCGCUCCGUCUCCUGAGGCGCAGGGGGAUAAAGCUGGCAAAGAUGAGGAAAAUUGGCUGUGCUCUCCUGGUACUCCAAGCUCUUCUGGCGCCUCUGGAUCUUGUUCAUGGAGCGGAGAAAAGUUAUCCCAUCCUGAACAUUGCAGUGAUUCUGGGAAGGACCAAGGAUAUCACGGAGAGAGAUAUCAGAGCUCUCUGGACCAGGGAAAUGUCAGCAGACCUGACUGUUGAUGUCAAUGUAGUGACCCUUCUGGUGAACCAGACUGACCCUAAAAGCAUCAUAACACAUGUUUGCGACUUGAUGUCAGGCACCAAGAUCCAUGGAGUGGUUUUUGGAGAUGAUACUGAUCAGGAGGCAGUAGCUCAGAUUUUGGAUUUUAUUUCAUCUCAGACUUCUAUUCCAAUUCUUGGAAUUCAUGGCGGAGCCUCCAUGAUAAUGGCAGAUAAGGAUGUGAUGUCCACAUUCUUCCAGUUUGGGGCUUCCAUCCAGCAAGAAGCCAUCGUCAUGCUGAAGAUCAUGCAGGAUUAUGACUGGCACGUGUUUUCUCUGGUGACCACCACCUUCCCUGGGUAUCGAGACUUCAUCAAUGUCAUUAAGACCACAGUGGAAAACAGUUUUGUGGGCUGGGACAUGCAGAAUGUCAUUGUACUCGAUACUGCCUUUGGAGAUGCCAAGACCCAAAUUCAGCUGAAGAAAAUUCAUUCAUCUGUCAUCCUGCUAUAUUGUUCCAAGGAUGAAGCUGUCUACAUAUUGGAUGAAGCUCGUUCCCUGGGCCUUACUGGCUAUGAUUUCUUUUGGAUAGUUCCCAGCCUGGUUAGUGGUAACACAGAAAUCACUCCCAAGGAGUUUCCUUCAGGACUCAUUUCAGCAUCUUAUGAUGAAUGGGACUACAGUUUAGAAGCUCGGGUACGGGAUGGCCUUGGGAUUAUUGCCACAGCUGCAUCAGCCAUGCUGGAAAAAUACUCCUUCAUUCCUGAAGCAAAAACUAGCUGCUAUGGACAACCGGAGAAAAAUGACCGGCCAUCUCACACCUUGCACAAGUUUAUGAUGAAUGUGACUUGGGAAGGUAAAGAUUUGUCCUUCACAGCAGAUGGUUAUCAGGCACACCCCAGGCUGGUGGUGAUAGUACUGAACAACGAUCGCGAAUGGGAAAAGGUGGGGAAAUGGGAGAACAACUCCCUGAGCCUGAAGUACUCUGUCUGGCCCAGGUACAGCUCUUUUGCAGACAGCGACCCAGACGAUAACCAUUUGAGCAUUGUCACCCUGGAGGAGGCUCCCUUUGUCAUUGUUGAGGAUGUGGAUCCUUUGAUGGAAAGUUGCCAAAAAAACACCGUGCCAUGUCGUAAAUUUGUCAAAAUAAACAACUCAACUAAUGAGGGAACUAACGUAAAGAAGUGCUGCAAAGGAUUCUGCAUCGAUAUCUUGAAGAAGUUGUCUAAAACCGUCAAGUUCACAUAUGACCUGUAUUUGGUGACUAAUGGGAAACAUGGCAAAAAAGUCAAUAAUGUGUGGAAUGGAAUGAUUGGUGAAGUGGUGUAUCAUCGUGCAGUUAUGGCUGUGGGGUCUCUCACUAUUAAUGAAGAGCGCUCUGAAGUGGUUGACUUUUCAGUGCCAUUUGUUGAGACUGGGAUUAGUGUCAUGGUGUCACGCAGCAAUGGCACAGUUUCACCAUCUGCUUUUCUAGAGCCUUUUAGUGCAUCUGUCUGGGUGAUGAUGUUUGUGAUGCUUCUCAUUGUGUCCGCCAUGGCUGUCUUUAUAUUUGAGUACUUCAGUCCUGUAGGAUAUAAUAGGAACCUAGCACAAGGGAGAGAUCCCCAUGGACCAUCCUUUACCAUUGGAAAGGCGGUGUGGUUACUCUGGGGCUUGGUAUUCAACAACUCUGUGCCUGUGCAAAACCCCAAGGGGACGACCAGUAAAAUCAUGGUGUCAGUUUGGGCUUUCUUUGCUGUCAUCUUCCUGGCUAGUUAUACUGCCAACUUAGCUGCGUUUAUGAUUCAAGAGGAAUUUGUUGACCAAGUGACUGGACUCAGUGAUAAAAAGUUCCAAAGGCCAUAUGAUUAUUCACCUCCUUUUCGAUUUGGAACGGUCCCAAAUGGAAGCACAGAGAGGAAUAUCAGAAACAACUACCCUGAUAUGCACCUUUACAUGACGAAGUACAAUCAGAAAGGAGUUGAAGAUGCCUUGGUCAGCUUGAAAACUGGGAAGUUGGAUGCUUUCAUCUAUGAUGCAGCGGUGCUGAAUUAUAAGGCUGGAAGAGACGAAGGCUGCAAACUUGUCACAAUUGGGAGUGGAUACAUCUUUGCCACUACGGGCUAUGGAAUAGCACUUCAGAAAGGAUCACCUUGGAAGAGACAAAUUGACCUAGCCCUCCUUCAGUUCGUUGGAGAUGGGGAAAUGGAAGAGUUAGAAACCCUGUGGCUGACUGGUAUUUGCCACAACGAGAAGAACGAAGUCAUGAGCAGCCAGCUGGACAUUGACAACAUGGCAGGAGUGUUUUACAUGCUUGCAGCAGCCAUGGCACUCAGUUUAAUAACCUUUGUCUGGGAGCACUUAUUUUACUGGAAACUUAGAUUCUGCUUCACUGGAGUCUGCUCAGAUAGGCCAGGAUUGUUGUUCUCGAUCAGCAGGGGUAUUUACAGCUGCAUUCACGGAGUACACAUUGAAGAAAAAAAGAAGUCUCCUGACUUUACUUUGACCAAUUCCCAAACAAACAUGUUAAAACUACUGCGAACAGCGAAAAAUAUGACCAAUAUCAAUCCUUCAAGAAUUAACUCCCCAAAAAGAACAGCUGAUUUCAUUCAGAGGGGUUCCUUGAUUAUGGAUAUGGUCAUGGAUAAGGGAAACUUGAUAUUUUCUGAUAACAGAUCCUUUCAGACAAAGGAUAACUUUUUUGGUGACAACAUGAGUGAACUGCAGACACUUCCUGGUAAUCGACACAAGGACAAUCUUAACAACUAUGUUUUCCAAGGUCAGCAUCCUCUCACGCUGAAUGAGUCCAAUCCGAAUACAGUAGAGGUUGCAGUAACAGCAGAAGCAAAAGUGAACUCCAGACCCAGGCAGCUUUGGAGGAAAUCUGUUGAAUCUUUACGUCAAGAAUCUGUACGUCAGAGCCAAGGUUCCCAGAGAGAAAACGGGUCAGAUGAAAACAGGCAGCUUUCAGUGAAAAGCCAAAGAUACCUUCCUGAAGAGAUUGUCCAUUCGGAUGUAUCAGAGGCAUCAAGCCGAGCUACUUGCCAUAUGGAGCCUGAAAACAACAACAAGCACCACAAAACCAAGGACAAUUUUAAAAAAAGGACAGUAGCAUCAAAAUACCCAAAAGACUGUAGUGAAGUGGAACUGACAUAUCUGAAAACCAAACCAAGCUCUCCACGGGAUAAAAUCUACACGAUUGAUGCUGACAAGGAGCCAGGAUUCCGCUUGGACACACCUCAGUACAUCGAAAACAUUGUCCUUCCAGAAACUAUAGAGUUCCCUGAUGUUUAUCAAGAUCACAAUGACAACUACAGGAAAGCAGAACAUGCUAACAGGACUCCCUUGCAUAAUGAAGACAGUCUUCCAAAUAAUGACCAGUAUAAACUUUAUGCAAAGCACUACACUUUAAAAGAUAAAAAUGCUUCCCUAGGUGACGUGAACGAUAGAUAUAGACAGAACUCCACCCACUGCAGGAGCUGUCUUUCCAAUUUGCCCACUUACGCGGGACACUACUCGAGCAGAUCUCCCUAUAAAUGUGACGCAUGCUUGCGGAUGGGGAACCUCUAUGAUAUUGAAGAAGAUCAGAUGCUGCAGGAUACAACGAACUUAUCACUUCCUGAAGAAAUCUAUGAGCAUAGUUGGUCACAAAACAAUGCUCUGCAAUAUCAUAAAAAAAAUAAGUUGAGGAUUAGCAGGCAACAUUCUUUUGAUAAUAUCGCUGAUAAAUCCAGGGAAAUUGAUAUUGGAAGACCUUCUCGUAGUAUAAGCUUGAAAGAAAGAGAGAAAUUUCUACAAAGUAGUCCAUAUGCAAGCAUGUUUAGUGUUCCCUCAAGCAAACUGUUGAGCAACAAGGCCUCACUUUUAACUCAUGCACUAGAGGACAGUAAACGGAGCAAGUCCCUGUAUCCUGUUCACUCAGAUGAUAAUCCCUUUCUGCACUCCUAUCGUGAUGACCAGCACUUAUCUCUUAGGCGAAGUCCGGCUGAUCUUUAUAAACAUUCAUUACCAACAAGAGGAAGACAUGAUAAUUAUUUAAGGUCAUCCAUAAAGUCUUCAGCAUCAUACUGUUCCAGGGAUGGUCGGAUCCAUAAUGACAUGUACAUUUCAGAGCAUGUUUUGCCUUACGUUGCAAAUAGGAAUAGCUUGUACUCAACUCCAAGGGUUUUAAAUUCCUGUAGCAAUAGACGUGUGUAUAAGAAAAUGCCUAGCAUUGAAUCAGAUGUUUAAAUUUUCCGUGAACACUUUAUCUAUAGGGAAAAAAUAGUUGCCACCAUCUUAGAGGGAGAAUUUAUCCUUUAACAGUAUCCUGCUAUGGUAAAUGAUAUGUAAACCUCUCCCUUUCCCAGUGUACUUUUGUACAUGAAUAGGUAAACUAGUCUGCUUUUAACCAUCCUUUUAAAAUAUGUCUUGUUGAAAAGGAUAAAAAAAUAGCCAUUUAUGUAUGCUUUAUAUAUAAAUGGCAAGCUGUACUGAAAUAGCCCCAAUAUAUGUUGGCAACUAUGCUGUUUUGUAUCUAAUUAUUUUAUUAUUUUGGUUAUUCUAAUUUAUGUUGCUAAGUAUCAUUCAAUGUACUUUUGUCCUUAGAAAUGUUUAAUGAUUUUCUAGUACUGGAUAAGCAAUAUGGUAUGCAUGUAGUAUGACACAGACAAAAAGAAUUAGGAAUGCAUUUGCACAGUUUCAAAAGUAAGAAUUUAAAAGAGAACAGAAAGCUAGACUUUCAAAAAUAUAUUUUAGCUUCGUAAGCGUUUUCAAAGCCAAAUAAUAAUAAAACCCCCCCCGAACCCCCGGGACCUUAAUAAAUAAAAUACAGCGUGUUAGCACAAAAUUAGUACGUUCGUUCUAGACUGACAGAAGAUAAAUGGGAAGGCUGUAGGGCCAAACAUGUGAACUGCUGUGUACCAAAAGGAAGCCCCAUGGAUAUUGGUUAAUGUUAAUGUACAAAUGCUUUUCUUAUAUUUCACAUGCAUUUACCAUUACGAACUAAGUUCAUUGAAAAGUCUGCAGUCAUCUUGUCAGAAAUUUCACAGCUGCCUAAUCCAGAGUAUAUAUUUUUAGAUAUCACUAUAUGACACUUACUGUGGAGCUGUGGACUUUAUUAGUAACCUUGAGGCCUAAUGUGUACGUAAGUUUGCAUUUGCCCCUUACUGGUGAUUACUCAGGGCUGUAUAGUAUUUCUUUUAUUCCUUCACUUCCCAAACCAAAUCCCAGCCCCCUGUAAUUCUUUGUUCAUAGUGUAUUAGUGACAUCUAAUUAAUUGUAUGUUAAUAGUAUUAAAGCUCUUAAUACAGUAUCAAACACCGACAGCCAUACGUUCAGUGUAAUCAGUGAGGAGCGCAAUACCAUUUAUUUGAAGGAUUAAUACCUUUGGAGGGACUUCUUCCUUCCAGAAUAUUGUGCAUAUUUGUUGAACAUUAGACCAUUUUUAAAAAUUUCUCCAACCGAGUCUGUUAUAUAAAUUGAAUAUAUGCACACAUCACUGAGGAACAGUAUCUCUAUUGUCACUGACUGCUAUACAAAGGUAUUCACAUAACAGGGAUGCAUUCUUAUAUGAAUUUACCUCUAGUAAAGAUCAAUCAGAUUAUUUCACAAGUAUAAUGUCUGCUACACACCCCUCCUCACCCCCGCUGGAAAAAAAGAAAGCACUAGAUACGAAUGGUAAGGGAGCAUGGAAGGGAAGAGAGGAAGCCUCUUCUGCUGCUAUUCUUGAAGAGGAGAAAAGAAUCUUCCUGCAUAAGUGGCCAUCCUUUCUGUACCUUUCUGGAUGGUGCUGGUGACUUGUUACAUUUUCCUGAUUACAGCUCUAGCAGUUUGUUGGUCAUUCCUAUCACCAAGAUUUCCCGUGACUCCAGCUGGAACUGAAUCAGGCUGUAAAUGAUAUGGGCCAUUCUUGGUAGCAUGUCCUGUAGUGUUACACUGCUCCCGGACGACAACUUUUAUGGAGGCAGGAUAUUGAAUUGCUGAGGAAUGCAGUAGGUACAUGGAGGUAAAACCAGCUACAUAGACAUACCUGCCUCUUGCUUUUUUCCUCUUUUAAAGACAUUGUAGAAUUUCUUCAUGUUUUUGUCUUUCCCUUUUCACCACAGUAAAUUUUCCUUUUUCCUUUCAAAUGGAUUUUGUGUUUUGCUUGUGUUUCUUAGAGCAGUGUAGCCACCCACUAACUUAAACGCAUGGAAAUAAGAUAUUUUAAUAUAUAAGAUAAAAUUAAGGAAAAUUAAGAGUUUUUGUAUUUCUGGAAAAUUUCAUUUAAUGUUUUUUCAGCUUUUGCUCAGAAUUCAUUAUUCUGCUACGUAAGAAGCUCGGUUAGGAGAAAGAGUGCUGUGGACAAACAGAACCCAAACCACUGCCAGCUCACUGUGUUUUAGCAGCAUCUCAUAAAUACAUGUCUCCUCUAUGAUCUUUCAGGAACACGUAGGAGGUGAAGUAAGGCUCACAAGGAAAAUGAGGAGUGGGGUUUUUUUUCCUGGUGAAAAGAAAUCUUUUUACACAGUUUUAAAGGAAGCAAAAGCUAGAGCUGUGUGCGUAGUGUUGGGUUUCUGUGCUGGAAGGCUGAGCUCUUUCUGUUGCCAGUGGGGAGAGAGAGAGAGAAAGCUCCGUCCGGAUGGUAGUUCAGAGCGCAAGGCUUGGGAGCAGUUCUGUGUGUGAUGUGUCUGGAAGAUUUUACCUCUCUCUGUUGACUUUUUAGAAAGUAUAGGCUCCUAACAAGGACAUCUCAGUUAGGUGGGCUUAGGAAAGUAAUGGUCUACUUAUCCCCAGCCUUAAAAAUCUGCUAGUUAAAUGUGCAAGUGAGUGCCAAGUUAAACCUUGCAGGUGCCUGGAGGUUCCCGUGCUUAUGCGAGUAGUCACUAAGGUAGCACCUGGCAAUUGCGGGUUUUGCAGUACUCCCAGCCUCGCCUGUAUCAUCGUUUGCUUUCUACCACAUGACUAUCCAGCAUGAAAUAAAAGUGUCAGACUCUAUUCCUUGUAGAAUAACUUGCUAUUUUCAUAGUUCCGCAGUGUAGCGUAUGCAUCUUUGUGAUGGGGAAGAUUUUGGUACUAUUCCUUCCCUUGCUGGGUUCACAUCGUAGAACAGGAUUGUGGCACCAAUCUAAGGGUCUAAGAGUCAGCUUGGACUUGGGAAGAAUUCAAGAGGUGAAUCUUUUUGUUGUUUUACAUUGCAUUUAAGAUGUUUGAUAUAUAAAACCUAGUGAAAACAGAUCUUUUAUGGCAAAAUCCUCUCUUAGUUGAUAUAGAACAGUAACUAUCCUGUGCUUGACUAGAUUGUGUUGUGUUAAUCAUCACGUCGUGUGCUUCUUUCAAGAUGGAGUGUCAUACGUUCCCUUGCUAAACUUUCCCUUUCCCAGCUCUAACCCUAUCUUAGCUCAAAAGUCCUUUUAAAGUAGAUAUCUUUCCUGUAUAGAGCAAUCUGGUUUGGAACGGAAAAACAGUUUUGCAGUGAUAUACUUAAAUUGUUUUUGUUUUAGUAAUGCUUUGUUUUUUUAAUCUAAACUGCCUUCCUUUUGAGAGCUGAGCCUUCAAAGUAUAAGAGUGCUGAAGGAACUUCUGAAAGAGCGUAAAGGCCUUUCAAAGCGUGACUUUUAUGAUGUGAGCCAUUUCCCUGCCCAGACUCACCUGUCUUAUACUGUCUUAUUUAAAUGUAUUAGCAAUAUGUUAGUAUUUACUAUCAGGAGGAGGGAGUGGAGUUUGAUCACAGCUGUGUGUUUAUUUGUGGACGUAAAUGCAGGUGCGGGCAGGUAUAUGAUAAGGUAGAGGGCAGGCUCAGCCUGCUCUGGCUGGAGUCACCUGUGAAGCUGUGGUUAAAUGGGAGUAGCCUCAAGACCGUCACGUCUCUUACAUCGCUCUGAUCAUGCAGACUCCUCUGUCUGAUGUGCACGUACUGUACGUAGUGUAAAAUCCUUGUUGAUGCUCAGCUUUCAUUGUGGAAUUAAUCCCAUGUUCACCUUCAUUACACUGUCACAGCCAUGUUCGUGGGGUGGAGAAGUGGUUGUUCGUGCUUCCUGGUGUCUGUUGCCCCAUUAAAUGGGAGCAGAAAUCCUGCCCUGCUUCUCUCUGCGCGGCCAGGGAGGGUUACUGCACUCUUUGUGAAUAAACUUCGCCUCAGUCAGGCUUUUAAUUUUUUCUUUUUCCCUGCUUCUCUCAGCCUGUGUACAGAGUAUGCUCUCUGCACAUACAUGCUCUUCCAAUGUCCUGCAGCUUUGGAAGUCAGGAUUGCAAGUGUGCAUCGCCCUGCAAUGCAGUGAAAAUGCACUUCGUUCUCGCAGGCUCAUGAGCUUUUUUGUUACAUACUGCAGGAUAUAUCUGCUGUGGUUGAAACUGGGGUUGGUUUGUUGUUGUUGUUUUUUUUGUUUUUGUUUUUUUUUUAAAUGAAUGCCAGUCUAACAGCUGUAAGAAUCCACUGCUGAUUUUGUGAUGAUUUUGUCAUAUCUAUAAUUCAAGAGCCAGAAAUAAUAUAAGUAAAAUUAAGUUACCUCACUAUUUACCAGGUUUUUGUUGUUUUGCACUUAAAUGACACUUUUUCCUCCUUCUGCUUAAUUCUUUACCUGUAUUGAAAACAAUGCUAAAUUAGUAGAGAAUAUAACCACGCUGUAACAUUGUCAUGCAAUACCUUUAUUAGUAGAUAACCACACUAAGUAUAGUACUACAUAUUUAAGAGAGAGAUGGUUUUGACUCUCCAACUCUUAAAAAGUAGUGGUGAUAAGCAGUUAUACUCCUAGAUGUUUUGUCCUUUCCCUUUUGUAUUAGUAUUUGUUUUCACUAAUAUAUUUCAAAAAUUAUAUUUCUAUGUGCACGUUAGAAAACUGUGAAAAUAAAUACCAAUAAAUAUUGUGAUACUUAUUCAGUGCACUGUAAAGUUCCAAGUGAGAUGAUACUUUGCUUUGGAAUUGAUGAAGGUUUCCUCACUUCUCAUAAAUGGUACUAAGCUUUAAUGUGGGCAAAUGGUAAUAUUUACAGUGACAUGAAAUUUUAAUGGAGAAUGUCUUGGUUUGCACUUCUGGUACUAUUAGAAGAAAUAUGUUUUUCUCAGCAAAUGCAUUAUGAGAAUACAUUUUUUAAUUUGUUUUGUGCAUUGCGGCACGGAAGAAUAGCCGUUUUGAAGAGAUUUGUGUUACAUCAUUACUACAGGAUUCUUUAGUCUGAUAAUUUUUUAUUGAGCCUGUUUAAUAAUGGUGUUUAAUGGCAAAAACCUUUUGGAAAUAUAUUUUUGGCUUAUGUUUCACAUUGCAAACCCUGUGUUUGGACUCAUAGUGCCGCAGUGGAGGGCCCUCACGAGGUUGCUGUGCCUCCCCGUGCUGCUGGGGAAGGCGACCUUUCUUGUUCACUGUUGGGACAAGAUUAGAGGAGUCAAGAAAAAUUUUGGAGGGUGUGUUGUGCAACAUUUGAAGUGUAAAUGAUCUUCAAAAGUGGAAAAAAAAAAAUAAAUUGGAGGUUCGCAGUUAUCCACACUAGCGGGUGGUCUGUGACAGGCUGCGGGGCGUGUGGUUUCUGGAGGAAAAUGACAAUUUUUAACUGAAGUGAUUUGAAUUCUACUUAAGUUUCUGAAAGUCACUGAAAAAACGGGAGUUUUCUUUUCUUCUCUCUUUUUUUUUUUUUUUUUUAAAGCCAAAGUCUUUAUGUUAUCAUACGAGGUUUCACAGGAAAAUGGGCCAAAGAAUACAAUUAAAUAUGCAAAAGGUUAAUCCUAUGGAAAAGGGUAUCCUGUCGUCUUGAUAUGCACAAGCAUAUUAAUGGUAAUAGGAACAAUGUGUGUAAUUUUCCUGUAUAUUGCUAUGUAGGUUGCACUAUUUUGAAUGACACAAGCCUGAUAUUUUAAUUACCAAAUACCAUGAGAAGCUGUUUAUUAAUAGUUUAAACUUGUUAACCUAAAUAUAUAUACAGUAUAGACACGCGUGCGUGCAUACGCUUUCUAACCUAGUCAUGUGUGAGUAGUCUCCCAAAGCCGCGGGACACGUUUCAGCAGUGCUGUAUUUUAAGUGAUUCUCUUCUCUCCUUCCCAAAGCUCCUACAUCCACUCAGCCUCUGGCAGCGUUUAGUGUAGUGUUGAUACCUGUUACCCAAGAGGCUAAAGGACUCGCUGGGGUCGGGAUUGCAUUGUGCUAGGACACGUGAAAACACGUCAGAGGACAGGUCCUGUCCAAAGAGCUUGAAACGAUACUCACUGUAAAGAACAAAGCCAUAGGAAAAGGAUGUCUUCUCGUACUGUGUUGAAAAUUCAUGGCCAGAGAGGGUCUAUUGGCGUGAUUUUAAAAUUCGGUGCCAGCUUACGCCAUCCACACCUGGUCAUUAAACACGUUACUUAAGGUAGCUGAGGAAGCAUACCUAAAAAACAAAAAUUCCCCCCAAAAAAGACCAGCCAGUGUGUGCACCAGUGGCCGCCUGUGUAUUCUCCACGCAGACGGAGCAGCCUGCAGAACGGGUUUUGCAGGCAGAGGCAGUAUUUAGCAGUGGGGGUGAAGUCAGAAUCACUUCUCAAUGCCCAGGCUUUUGAGCUUGCUAUAACUGGUGGCGUGGAGAUUUUGACCAAGAGGUGAUUGUGGUAUUUGGCUUCUUUUCUAAAUUUACAGAGCUCUAACCCAAACUUCCGACAAAAAAAUACCUUGGAAUCCUUUGUUUGAAGUAAUUCCAGAGCUUUUUUCCAAAGGGAGAGUUGGAUAGUUAUUAAUUUUUCCACCUUAACCCAGAAACAGAAAAUUCUAUAGGGUCAAAUUUUGGCUACAGUUCAUUGCGAGUGUGUCUUAGAGAAGAACUUGGUUCCAAGUCCUUCGUCUGCAAGAAGAAAAAUUUUGGCUAACUCAUUUUUACCUGGCCUAGGUCUGGAUUCCAAACUUAGGCCAAACACCUUUUGACUUAAAUAGGGAUGUGCGAGCGAGUGAGUGGUGGGAGAGCAGAUCCUUAGUGCAGGUCACCCUCAGAAUUAUAAAAAAACAACCCAAAACCUCAUGUUGCAAAGGUCUGGAAGUUGCAUCAUGAAAAAUCAUGUGCAGCUAGAAGGGAAACUAGUGCAAUUUUUAGUAAGAACCGUUUACAGUUUAUACUUGAUAUCAGCUAUAAUAUUUUGAAAUAGUCUUAUUCACUUCAGAACGUCCAUUUUGCACUGAUGAAGAGCAGCGUGAUCUCUCCGUCUCCACACCUCAUGCCCCCAUGCACAUGCACAGUGUAUCUUGUGUCUUCCCUGGCGAAGCCAGAAGGUACAAACAGAAUUCAUUAAUGUGUUAGGCAAACUCCUACCUGAUUCUUAACUAAGUAUGCUAUUUUUAUACAAAAUUUGCAUCCGUACAUUUCAGGUUCUCUCAGAAGCACUUCACCGGUGAGUUAAUGAUGUUAAUUUUAAUUCAUCAGAUGACUGAAAUUUACACUAAACCUGAAGGGCAUUUUGUGCUUCCUUUCAUUCUGUUUAAUGAUUUUUGCUGGCUUAGAUGAAACACCAAUAUUCCUGUGCUGCUAAACAAAAACCACCAGAAAUAUUUUAAAAUCUCAAAUUAUACUUUUAAAAACAUUUUUACCUGUUUACUUGAAUAAUGUAAAUUUAGUGUGUUGUCCUGAUUAGUCUUUGUAUACAUACAUAUAUAUAUAUAUAAAAGCUAUAUAUAAGCUUUAUAUAUAUGUGUAUGUGUAAAGUUUUUGGGAAGAAUGAGGGGCAAGAGAAAAAUUCAGCAUUGUGACAAAGAUUCUACAAACAUUUAAUAACAGUUUCAAGUAAUGUAUUGCUGGUUUGAGUAUGAUUAGAAGUUAUUUGCAAUUGAACUCUGAAAAAUUAGAUGUAACUGAAAAUUAGUAUUGGAUCAUCAGUCGUCAUCCUAAGACCGGUUUAGCUUCAUCUGCAUCCUGAGAAAAUAAGAAUUCACAAUAUUAACUUAGAAUUUUGCUCAGAAAGAAAAUUAUAAGUUAUUAGUACAGUUAGUACAGUUGGAAAAGUAUUCUUGUUCCGAUGAGGGGAAAAAACUCCAAGUGUACUAAUUUGUACUGGUUACAUGGAGCACUGAUCUACCUUGCAGCAGAAGAAAUUUGCAUCCCAUAAAUAACAUCUUACCAGAAAUCUCGGAACCAUCUGAGUCCAUACACAGUAAAUUACAAAGCCUAUCACUUCUGUUAUUUGCUAGUGCAAUUUACUGUAAAACUCUCAAGAGUGUAAUAUUUCAAACCAAAGGGUAAGUCAUAAACUUCCAAUCGUUAGCAAAGAAUAGUAGUGGUUUGAAGACCUCUUAACGCCUGGGGAAAUAAAUCAGGAUGUUAGAGUAGAAAUAAAAGAAUAUUGGUGAAAUGGAAUCAAGCAUUAAAUAAUGUUAAGAGAAUCCAGAAUUUCAUUAUAAAAUUCAUAGUCUAAUGGAUUCUUCAAAAGAAAGGGUUUGGGGGAAAAGAGAAUAAUAAAAAAAUAGUUUUGACAUUCCAAUUACUGCCUGGUUUAUUAGAUAGAUUUAGCAAACUGAAAUGAAUUUCAACACACAAGCGUCUGUACACACACAGUUUUAACUGUUUUGUUACGGAGAUUUGCGUACGCCCGGCUACCCCUGCCCCCGUCUGCCCCUGAAAUCCUGGUGGUAGUUGGAUCUGCCCAGCCCCGAGAGCCACACACUUCUCUCCCGCGUUACGCAUUCUGACUCACAGCAGUUCACCCCGACCAUAUUUUAACCCAGUGCAUGACUGAGUGCUAAUACUGUAUAAAUAUUUUGAAACAUAUCUAAAAAAAAUGUUUGCUUCAAAGUUUUUACGAUAGAGAAAUAUAUAAUUAUUAUGGUUGUCUUACAAAUUGUAUUGUGUUCUUCAUUUUUGUUAAAUAUGUAGAAAAACAUUAAGGGAAUGGGGGACUCGAAUGUCUGUGUGUACCGAAAUGUAUAUAACUAUUUGGGGAAAACACACGUGCCAAGUAUAACAUGAUGUAAAAAUUGUAAAUAUAUGAAAAUUCAUUUUUCUAAUAAAGAUAAUUUCUGCCAAUUGA